AGUUAAUUCGUUUGGGGUUCGGAGUAGGAGUCUACUCCGAGGGUGGGGGCUUAGGUUUCAUCAUCAUCACCUUUCAUCUUUACAUUAAUCAUCAAGAAAAAAAAUACGUAAGACAUGGCUGUAUGGGCAUAGUUCCCUUUGCCUUACCCUUUGGGGAAAACCAAAACAAAUAACAAUAACUUCAACCCAAAUUCUGUCGCAUCUAUAAUAAAAUACAAUAAUUAACUUAAUUUUAUUGAAAAAAAGCCCAAAACUGAUAAAUUCCUCACAAAGUAAACGGUCAAGAGAUGUUGAGACAAUCUAAACUUGUAACAUAAAGAGGAAUUUAUUUAUAUAUCCACUACUAUUACUUUGAGAUUAUUUUGUUGAAUACGAAAUGAGUUGAGAGCAUUUAGUUCUGACGAUCAAGAAGGAAUAUCACACAGGAUUCAUCAUCGUGCAAAUGUUGAGGUUAUGCUGCUCUACAUCAUACGUACUAAAGAAAUAAAUAAAAAUAAUUAACGAAAAUAACAUAAGUGUGAGAGUAGAAUCUGUGACGCCAACUAAAGUAAUACAUGAACAGUGUCUUCAGCUAUAAUUAAUAAAUAAUGUACUAGUGGAAAUGAGACGUUGGUUUUUAUAAUUGGAAGUGGAAUUUUAUAAUUAUUUUCGAUUCAUCAUCAUCAUCAGCCCAUUAACGUUCCCACUGCUGGAGCACGGGCCUUCCCUACAGAGUGAUAGGGAGAUCGGGCAAUAAACCAUCACGCGGGGCCAGUGCAGAUUGAUGGUUAUUAUCAACUGCUAAUGCAGCCGGGACCAAUGGCUUAACAUGCCUUCCGAAGCACAGAGGAGCUCGAGAUGAAAACUCUUUUUUUUUUGUGGUUCGAUUAUGUUGAAUAAAUUAAUCUUUAAUCUCAAACAUCUUUUUUAACUACUCUCCCAGUAAUAAUUUUUGGGUAGUGACAAGAAUUGAGAAAAGUAUGCUGCAAUAUAUAAUAGUUUAAACAUAUCAAAAGAAUGAAUGAAUAUCAACAGAGUUUUUAAACAAAUGCCAAAAGUAAGUAGGCAAGUACAUCAAACCAUCUAAAUCAGUGAUCAUAUAUGUUUGAGAAAGUUAAACAAAUGUAUCAUAAUAGAAAGUGGAAUUCCAUUGUCUCCGCUCACCUCAGUGGAAAGUUUAGCAUUCAAUUAUUACUAUCAAUUAUGGUUAGCCACACCUUUUUAAAGUAAUAUUAUUGUCGCUAUGCCCUCUCCCUAAAUUAGAAAGAAAGAAAGAAACGUUUAUUAUAAAGGGACACCACAGUAACAAAUACAAAAUAAAUAACAAAUAUAUAAUAUAAAAACUAAUAGCUAACAUAAUUAGCACUCCUAAUUUGGUGAAUAUAAAUCUAUUUAAAAGAAAAAUAAUAGUAACUAGUACAAGCUUAUAGUUAUGUAUAAUUUAUACCUCUUCGAGAGCAUAGCAGAACAGAUUAAGCAGAUUAAUACUGUGCUACUGCUAGUUUCAUGGGACGGCACAUGAAGUACAAAAAUAAAGAUAUUUAAUAUUCAACAUAAUAUAGGAAGUUAUUUACUAUAUUUAUUUUUAGUGUACAAACUACAAACAACCUGGGAUAGAUAUUUGGAAAUAGGUUACGCCGGUGAGGAUAUGGUUUGGACAUGGUGAUUUAAAACUGUCGGGAUAGAAUGGCACAUGAAGUACAGAAUAC
rnacentral:misc_RNA from 1 species